rnacentral:rRNA from 1 species
UGGGGAAUAUUGGACAAUGGAGGGAACUCUAAUCCAGCAAUUCUGUGUGUACGAAGAAGGUCUUAGGAUUGUAAAGUACUUUUAGUUGGGAAGAAGGAAGUGACGGUACCAACAGAAGAAGCGACGGCUAAAUACGUGCCAGCAGCCGCGGUAAUACGUAUGUCGCGAGCGUUAUCCGGAAUUAUUGGGCUUAAAGGGCAUCUAGGCGGUAUAACAAGUUGAAGGUGAAAAGCUGUGGCUCAACCAUAGCCUUGCCUACAAAACUGUAAUACUAGAGUACUGGAAAGGUGGGUGGAACUACACGAGUAGAGGUGAAAUUCGUAGAUAUGUGUAGGAAUGCCGAUGAUGAAGAUAACUCACUGGACAGAAACUGACGCUGAAGUGCGAAAGCUAGGGGAGCAAACAGGAUUAGAUACCCUGGUAGUCCUAGCUGUAAACGAUGAUCACUGGGUGUGGGGGUGCAAAACUUCUGUGCCGAANCAAAAGCGAUAAGUGAUCCGCCUGGGGAGUACGUUCGCAAGAAUG